GACAUUGUGGCACAACGGUAGCGCGUCUGACUCCAGAUCAGAAGGUUCUGUGUUCAAAUCACAUCAAGGUAA
rnacentral:tRNA from 1 species